rnacentral:rRNA from 1 species
CCUACGGGAGGCAGCAGUGGGGAAUAUUGGACAAUGGGGGCAACCCUGAUCCAGCAAUGCCGCGUGUGUGAAGAAGGCCUGAGGGUUGUAAAGCACUUUCAGUGGGGAGGAGGAUAUUUUGGUUAAGAGCUGAGAUAUUGGACGUUACCUACAGAAGAAGCACCGGCUAACUCCGUGCCAGCAGCCGCGGUAAUACGGAGGGUGCGAGCGUUAAUCGGAAUUACUGGGCGUAAAGGGUACGUAGGUGGUUGUUUAAGUAGUUUUGAAAUUCCUGGGCUUAACCUGGGCUGGAGGACUAAUACUGAGUGACUUGAGUAUAGGAGAGGGUAGUGGAAUUUCCGGUGUAGCGGUGAAAUGCGUAGAGAUCGGAAGGAACACCAGUGGCGAAGGCGGCUACCUGGCCAGAUACUGACACUGAGGCACGAAAGCGUGGGGAGCAAACAGGAUUAGAUACCCUGGUAGUCCAGCUGUAAACCGNUGUCAACUAGCCGUUGGUCAUAUAGUAUGUGUAGUUAGUUAGGUCGGCGAGACGAACCGACGAGUAAGUUAGUACCGCCCGUCGGGGUACGGGUACGGGUUACGGUCGAAGAAGUUAAAGUACGUACGAACGGAAAGUUAGUACGGCGUGAGACGUAGCCGACGGACGACCGACGAGGGAGGAGGG